ACACAAUGUGAUUAUGUAAAACAAAACUUCUCAUUUGUUGUAUUCAAACAGGUUGCCCUUAAAAUGGUUAUUUCUACUUGCCAUCAUUU